AAACCAUCCAUGAAUUACUAAAAUUUCAUGUUACAAUGAAUAGUUCAAAGUGAUAUAACAACAAAACUCCUAUGAAUUAACAUCCUAUCUUCUCAACGUCGAAGUGGUAGUAAUAAUGUUAUGCACUUGACAAUUUAUAGGGGACCAGUGUAAGAGUUAGUGUCACCUGCAUGCGUGUUGGUUAGGCAAUUGAGUGUAGGGUCUACCCAUAUAUGAAAGUAACCCAGCCUAACCCUAAGUUCAAGUACUUCUCCACAAAUUCUGCAAUCAAACUGAAAAUGACACAAGUUCCAGUCUCAUUCUAUCCGCGGCACUACAAAUUCAAGGAAAGAAAGAAAGCUUCUUUUCUUUCAAAAGUUGUCACUUCUCGCCAUAUUCUCAGGUAUAUCUAUCUAUUUUGAGGUCCUAUCUCUCAGUUGCAUCAGAUAAUGUAAAUGGGGUAUUUGGUCGGUCCUCGAUCGGCUAAGUAUGUUCAAUACAUGUUUGCAGCAACUAAGGGAAUAUAUUAAGAGAAAGAAUUAGCAUGUUCCAAAUUAGAAUCUCUUUUAGGAUGAUAUGUCGAUCGGUUGUAUUAAUUCUUUUACUCUCACUCAAAAUUAUCCACCAAAUUCGUACUAGCAAUAACAACUUAAGUUAUGUAAUAGUAUACCUUAACCACAAAGGAAUAGAGAAUAGUGUCUUCCAUCCUACUUAUGUUCAGAUGAAGGAUCUCAAAGGAAAGUUUUUCCAAGACAUUGAUUAUCCUCACAAUUUGACC
rnacentral:misc_RNA from 1 species